rnacentral:misc_RNA from 1 species
GACCUAGUCACUCGUCUUCUCUUUGAUGACUUCUUUUGCUUCUGAAGCUUUCGACUCUGCUUCCUGUUUACCCUUUUGGAGCAGCGAGGCAAAGUAUGCAAGCCAAUCACUGGUGAUGACAAAGCUACCACUGACAAAAGCCUUGCUGCCAGCAACGAUGCCAUCGCCACCACAUUUCUUGUAUUCUGUGUUGUAGGUAGAGAGCACAUAGUCU